rnacentral:rRNA from 1 species
UACGAAGGGUGCUAGCGUUGUUCGGAAUUACUGGGCGUAAAGCGCACGCAGGUGGCUGAGUCAGUCGAUUGUGAAAGCCCUGGGCUUAACCUGGGAAUUGCAGUCGAUACUACUCAGCUAGAGUAUGGGAGAGGGUAGUGGAAUUCCCGGUGUAGCGGUGAAAUGCGUAGAUAUCGGGAGGAACAUCAGUGGCGAAGGCGGCUACCUGGCCCAAUACUGACACUCAGGUGCGACAGCGUGGGGAGCAAACAGG